rnacentral:SRP_RNA from 1 species
GCUGGAUGUGAAUGCCUGUAAUCCUUGCUGUUAAGGGGAGGCUGAAGCUGACAACUCUCUUGAGCUCCAGAGUUCCGAGCUACAGUGAGCUAAGCUGAUCAAUGUCCAUGUUGAUUGACAUUAAUAUGAUAAGCCUUGGAGAUCAGGGGGCCAACAGGUUGCUGAAAGAGGGGAAAACCAGCCCAGGUUAGACACGGAGCAAGUCAAAACUCCUGUGACUACUAGAAUGGAAUUGGGUCUGUGAGUAGCCCCCUGCACUUCCAGCCUGGGCAAGAUAGAGAGAU